GGUGGCUCAGUGGUAGAGCACUUGCCUUGCACGCCUGAGGCCCUGGGUUCGAUUCCUCAGUACCA
rnacentral:tRNA from 1 species